UUUUAAAUCUCUCUACUCUCUCAACAAUCUUACCACCACCUGUUGGGAGCGAUAAAUUAGGUAAAUUUUUGUGUUAGUCCUGCAGUUGGGUUUGAUAAUUAUUAUGUUUCUCUCUGUCUACGAUUUCUCUGGUCUUCCUUUCUUAGUUUCCUAGUUUCUGUAAUUUUCGGAAGCUUUAAAAGGGAUUGGAGAUAGUAUUCUGUGGAUUUCGUAUUGGUCAAAGAGGGGUGAAGAUUGUCCUAUUUGCCCCAUAAUCUUUUAUGCAAAAGGCUUCUCUUUUCCUUUUUUCCUCCAUAGUCUUCAAAGUUAAAGGCUUAUUUUUCCUGUCAAAUUCUUUUGGUUGGGCCUCUCUCACUCUUGUAAAAAAAUUUAUUAGUCUGUUAAGUAAGCCCAUGAUUGUUCCUUCGCAUUUACUGUUGCAAGCAGCAAUCCCACCACCCCUUCAUCUCUUCAUUGCAGAACACCUUUUCCCUCUCUAAAAAAAUUACUGCUGAAAAUAAGUGUGCACAUCUUUCUUGCACUACUGAAAAUCAUUGUACUGCCUCCAUCCAUCUGAGUUGCUAUGGCAACUCCAUCACUUGGUUGUAUUGUGCACACCGACUGUUCGAGCGAGGGUCUACACAACAAUUAUAUGCAUUUUCUCAACUAUAAGCAUUCAAGGCUCGACAAGUAAUUGAGGACCACACUACAACGAGAAGUAUGAUGCGAGCUCGAUCUAAGAAGUAUGGGACCGCUCGAUCUAUUGCAAAGAAAUUGAGCACAUCAAUGCCAAUUGUCCUGAAGAGCAAAAUUGGGAUCCAGAACAAUAACAAUUGCUCAGAACAACAAUAAGUUAAAGGACUUGAUCUGUGGAGUCUCAUAAUCAUUAGUCACCGACCAUAACUUAAAGAAUUGAUGGGUCGACUCAACCUCCAUGUGAUAUAUUUUGAGAACCAAUGAUGGAUUCACAGAGUUGAGGAGAUUGCAACCAGUAACCAACCAUUUUAUAUGGGGAAUGACACCUAUUAUAAUGUACUUGGGUGUUCAUACUUACCAGUUAUGUCUAUGUGAAGGAGCAAAUAUCUUGCUCACUGAUACUUAGAAUGCGCUCAAUAUGAGGUGCAAUUUGAUUUUUAUUCCUAGACUAAACGACAAGGGAUAUGAAAUAAAAUUCAGGUCAAAUCGGGCCACCAUCGGUAAACAUUGUUGAGCAUUGGUGUAUAGCACUGAAGUUGAUAAUUUGUACCGAUUGAACAUUAAUGAAAUUUCAUCUUAUUUUGGUUA